rnacentral:rRNA from 1 species
AACGAACGCUGGCGGCGUGCCUAACACAUGCAAGUCGAACGAGAAAGCCCCUCGGGGUGAGUAGAGUGGCGCACGGGUGAGUAAUGCUUGGGAACAUACCAAAAGGUGGGGGAUAACAGUUGGAAACGACUGCUAACACCGCAUAGUCUCUUCGGAGUAAAUGAGGCCUCUUCUUGAAAGCUACAGCCUUUUGAUUGGCCCAAGUCGCAUUAGCUAGUUGGUGAGGUAAUGGCUCACCAAGGCUUCGAUGCGUAGCUGGUCUGAGAGGAUGAUCAGCCACACUGGAACUGAGACACGGUCCAG